UACGAAGGGGGCUAGCGUUAAUCGGAAUUACUGGGCGUAAAGCGUGCGCAGGCGGCUAUGCAAGACAGAUGUGAAAUCCCCGGGCUCAACCUGGGAACUGCAUUUGUGACUGCAUGGCUAGAGUACGGUAGAGGGGGAUGGAAUUCCGCGUGUAGCAGUGAAAUGCGUAGAUAUGCGGAGGAACACCGAUGGCGAAGGCAAUCCCCUGGACCUGUACUGACGCUCAUGCACGAAAGCGUGGGGAGCAAACAGG
rnacentral:rRNA from 1 species